GCCUGGGCAACAAGAGUGAAACUCUGUCUCAAAAAAAAAGAAUGUUUCUUGUUUUAAGUCAUUGAUUUGGGAAUGGCUGUUUUGUAGCAAUAGAUAACUGGAACAGACUCAAAGGGCCAACUAGUCAUAAAGUGUUUUUUUGCCUCACCUUGUCAUUCCUGGAAAUGACUCCCUGGAAAACCCUUCGCAGAGAUGGGUGUCUGGGUUUCAGUUUUUAGAAAUCUUUCCACAUUAAUAUUUUCCUUAGUUGCCUAACAUAACUGGCAGAAGGAGACAGGCAAGGAACAGGACAUUAAGUACUCAACCAACUGUGGUCAUAAUUAUCCAGAAAGUUUUUUUCUCUGUGAAAAAAAAAUCACCACAUAUUGCUUUAAGUAGGUUUACUAGGAAGUUUCAGACCCAAACCCCUGUGUGGAAUCCUUAGUUCUGGUGUUCUAUCAUGGAAACAACAAAGACUGUCUUUUUGUCUCUAGCCCAAGGCCUUCACUAAAAGUAUGCCAAUAGCUUCCUAGCCCUUUUUCUCACAGACACCAUAUCCUUAAGAUCUUUUAACUCUAAUUGUGUGAACAAAGGAAAAGAAGACACAUUUGUUUUGAUAUGGCCUUUUUCAUACUCCUGCUACCCAUUCCCAAUAUGACCAAUUGUCCUUGUUCUUGGCUGCCCAUGUCCUAGCUCCUCCUCCCCAGAAGCUGAAGGGUUUGGAGCCUUCUUUUUUUUGAGACAGAGUCUUGCUCUGUCGCCAGGCUGGAG
rnacentral:lncRNA from 10 species